AUCAGGUCCCUCGUCGCUUGCGUCGCCGUAUUAAUUUUAAUUAGGAGCCUGUAAAAUUUUUCAUUCAUCAUUUUUGCAAUUUUGAAUAAAUAUCUUUUUACCUUUUCCUUUAUUUGCCUUACACCUUUACUUUGAAGUACGUUAGUGUAACCGAAAUUUUUCUUGGUCAGUACCAUAUUCCUUUUUCCUUUUCUAAAGGUGUCGGAUUUUUGGCAAGUCGAUCUCAUUUCUCCCUGGAAAUGUCGAUGUUGCCUAAAAAUGUCGAUCCCACCUUUUUUCCGAGAAAGUCGAUGACUGCUGAUCCUUUUCUAAAGGUGUCCGAUUUUUGACAAGUCGAUCUCAUCUCUCCCUGGAAAUGUCGAUAUUGUAAAAAAUGUCGAUCCCACCUUUUUUCUGAGAAAGUCGAUGACUGCUGAUCCUUUUCUAAAGGUGUCGAAUUUUUGACAAGUCGAUCUCAUUUCUCCCUGGAAAUGUCGAUGUUGUAAAAAAUGUCGAUCCCACCUUUUUUCUGAGGAUGUCGAAGACUGCUGAUCCUUUUCUAAAGGUGUCGAAUUUUUGACAAGUCGAUCUCAUUUCUCCCUGGAAAUGUCGAUGUUGUAAAAAAUGUCGAUCCCACCUUUUUCUGAGGAUGUCGAUGAGAGUGGUGUGGAAUGUCGAACCUGACCUUCUCUUUUGAAGGUUUCGAAUUCCUUGCCAAAUGUCGACGCCUAUUCCCUUCUCCUGGGAAUGUCGAACAUGCUUUCCUGCGGAAUGUCG
rnacentral:lncRNA from 1 species